AGUGAACGCUGGCGGUAGGCCUAACACAUGCAAGUCGAACGGCAGCACAGUAAGAGCUUGCUCUUACGGGUGGCGAGUGGCGGACGGGUGAGGAAUACAUCGGAAUCUACUUUUUCGUGGGGGAUAACGUAGGGAAACUUACGCUAAUAACGCAUACGACCUACGGGUGAAAGCAGGGGAUCCUCGGACCUUGCGCGAUUGAAUGAGCCGAUGUCGGAUUAGCUAGUUGGCGGGGUAAAGGCCCACCAAGGCGACGAUCCGUAGCUGGUCUGAGAGGAUGAUCAGCCACACUGGAACUGAGACACGGUCCAGACUCCUACGGUAGGCAGCAGUGGGGAAUAUUGGACAAUGGGCGCAAGCCUGAUCCAGCCAUACCGCGUGGGUGAAGAAGGCCUUCGGGUUGUAAAGCCCUUUUGUUGGGAAAGAAAAGCAGCAGGUUAAUACCCCGCUGUUCUGACGGUACCCAAAGAAUAAGCACCGGCUAACUUCGUG
rnacentral:rRNA from 1 species